ACCCGAGCGGACCACCGCCGCGCGCGCCCCCAGCUCCUCUACCCUGUUCCUACAACUCGCCGCCACUGGAGCGCACCGCCAGAAGCCCACGCGGGCGCAAGGACGCUGGCGGUGAGGCCUCCUCCCGCGCAUCUUCCUUGUCCCCCAGGCCAUCGUUCCCCAUUGGAAACCCUAGCGUCACCACCCCUCCUCCCUCCCCC
rnacentral:lncRNA from 1 species